rnacentral:rRNA from 1 species
UGCAGUCGAACGGAUCCUUCGGGAUUAGUGGCAGACGGGUGAGUAACGCGUGGGAAGCUACCUUGUGGUAGGGGACAACAGUUGGAAACGACUGCUAAUACCCUAUGAGCCCUAUGGGGGAAAGAUUUAUCGCCAUGAGAUGUGCCCGCGUUAGAUUAGCUAGUUGGUAAGGUAAUGGCUUACCAAGGCGACGAUCUAUAGCUGGUCUGAGAGGAUGAUCAGCCACACUGGGACUGAGACACGGCCCAGACUCCUACGGGAGGCAGCAGUGGGGAAUAUUGGACAAUGGGGGCAACCCUGAUCCAGCCAUGCCGCGUGUGUGAUGACGGCCUUAGGGUUGUAAAGCACUUUCAGCAGUGAAGAUAAUGACAUUAACUGCAGAAGAAGCCCCGGCUAACUUCGUGCCAGCAGCCGCGGUAAUACGAAGGGGGCUAGCGUUGUUCGGAAUCACUGGGCGUAAAGAGUACGUAGGCGGACUGAUAAGUUAGGGGUGAAAUCCCAAGGCUCAACCUUGGAACUGCCUUUGAUACUGUCAGUCUUGAGAUCGAGAGAGGUGAGUGGAACUCCGAGUGUAGAGGUGAAAUUCGUAGAUAUUCGGAAGAACACCAGUGGCGAAGGCGGCUCACUGGCUCGAUACUGACGCUGAGGUACGAAAGCGUGGGGAGCNNNCAGGAUUAGAUACCCUGGUAGNCCACGCCGUAAACG